UACGUAGGGUGCAAGCGUUAAUCGGAAUUACUGGGCGUAAAGCGUGCGCAGGCGGCUUUGCAAGACAGAUGUGAAAUCCCCGGGCUUAACCUGGGAACUGCAUUUGUGACUGCAUGGCUGGAGUGCGGCAGAGGGGGAUGGAAUUCCGCGUGUAGCAGUGAAAUGCGUAGAGAUGCGGAGGAACACCGAGGGCGAAGGCAGCCCCCUGGGCCAAUACUGACGCUCAGGCACGAAAGCGUGGGGAGCAAACAGG
rnacentral:rRNA from 1 species